UGGCGGACGGGUGAGUAACGCGUGGGUAACCUUCCUUGUACUGGGGGACAACAGUUAGAAAUGACUGCUAAUACCGCAUAAGCGCACAGUAUCGCAUGAUACAGUGUGAAAAACUCCGGUGGUACAAGAUGGGCCCGCGUCUGAUUAGCUAGUUGGUAAGGUAACGGCUUACCAAGGCGACGAUCAGUAGCCGACCUGAGAGGGUGACCGGCCACAUUGGGACUGAGACACGGCCCAA
rnacentral:rRNA from 1 species